AAUUAUCAACUCCUAAACCUUUGUGUUCUUAGUGCUUGGUCUUGAGGGUUAUUGCAGGCUCUUUAUGAGUCAGCUCCUUUCAAAUCUAUUAGUGAGACUUCCCUAUACUGGAACUUGUGUCUUGACGUGAUAGUUUAUUUACGUCAAAUCUUUACAGUUCUUGCUGAGCUUGCUUCUAAUCGUCCUAUUUGGACAAUCGGAAUUGAGUACAUGCACAUAUAUCUACCCUUUUCCAAACCAA
rnacentral:misc_RNA from 1 species